UAGCACAUACUAGGAACUUGAUAAGUAUAAGACGGAUGUGUGAAAUAUUUCAGGUAUGCUUUAUUUAUUUUUCUUAUAAGAUGGUAACGAGUUGCUUUAGUAAAUGUCAUAAUUUCUCUUUGUAGGACAAAUUUGUUUCAGGUAUAGCGAGUGAACCAAAACAGGAUGGUGCUGGGAUCCCAGACGGGGGUCGCCUCGCUGCUGUGAAGAAGGCAGUGAGAGAGAGGAUGCAGCCGGGAGAGCGUGCUGAGGCCGUGGGCUCUGCGGUGCCGAAGGAAGUUGAUCAUAUAAUGUUUGACGCUGGAUCUUUUAGAAUCGAAAGUCCCGUUAAAUCGUUCUCAGCAGUAUUUGAUAAUAAAAAUCUCAUGACUGAAUGCCAUCUUCUUGAUUCAGCUUCUGGGUGGCCUGGUGUGUCCGGGGCAGAAGGAAGUGUGUUACUGUAACCCACACUCUGGUCCUUCUUGGUUCCAGCUGCCUUUAAUCGCAGGCUGAGACCAGAGGGUCAGGCAUUUCGGCAUAAGGCCCAUUUAUAGAAACUUGACUUCAUCUUGUUCCUAGAGCUGAACUCAGAAUGCCACGCCCGGGGUGCAGUAUCCCUUCACGCAGGUGGAGGAGAGGUGACAGGAGCACACCAGACACUCUUCCUUUGGUGGGGGCUUAAUUGCCUUUUCACCUCGAACGCCUCCUAAUGGAAAUCAACCAGAAGAACUGUGAAUUAAAAAAAAGCAAAACAUUGUUUUCAUAAUCUCCAUGCUGCAGUGUAUUCUUUGAAUACUGAAAAGUUAAAGAAUAUGGAUUCAUGUUCAUGUAUAUAGUGUUAUGUAAUGUCUUAAUAGUUAAUAUUUACUAUAGUGUAUUUUAGCUAUGAUACUGUUUUUCAGAGGAAGUGGAGAUAUUUUUUACUUUAUGCAGAAUAAAAAAUGCACUGUGCCUA